AUGUAUGUGUAUAUAAUCGAUUGCGAUGGAAAAUUACAGUAACAAUUAUUGAGGUAACAAUGAGUACCUGCGUUUUUUGCAAAACAAAGCAAUCAAAAUAUAGUGGGCGAUCAUUUCACAAGUGAGUAUACAACGCUGAAGCGUUCUGCAAAUGAUAACUUGCAGAGGUUAUGUCAGCAUACGAAGUAUUUACUAAUUAUAUUUAACGAGUAUUAUAACGUACGAAUCGGAUUUCCCGUGAAAGAUGUGUUGCGCCUUCAGCAGUGGUUGAAAGAAAUGAAGAGGAAGGACUGGAAGCCAAACCGAAAUAGCACAUUGUGUUCAGCUCAUUUUGCAAAUGACUGCUUUGAUAGGACAGGAUUCCUAAUUACAUUGAAAAAGAACAGUGUACCAACUAUAUUUGAUAACCCAAAAUCAGAGUGUUCAUCUUGUCACCGAUUAAGGGAAUAUGGACAUGGCUAUUCAUUCUUCAAGUUCCCAUUGGAUGAACCUGAUAUUAUGAAGCAGUGGAUCGCAAAUAUAAACAUUGGACCGUGGUCUCCAUCAAGUGAUAGCUUUCUGUGUUCCGACCACUUUGAACCCUCUUGCUUUCAGAAGAAAAGUAAAAAUUAUAUAACUUUACGAAAAGGCAGUAUCCCAACGUUAUUUGGUAAGAUCUGAAACUAUUAAUCCCUUUUAGGUCAGAGAAAACUCAGUGUGCAUGAAGACACGUUGAUGUGAUGCACUAUUGCGUCAAUGCCGUCGAAGCGGUUAAUUACCUACAGAUUAUAAAGUGCUCUGUUACAGAAAAAUCGUGUGUGACACAUUUCUGUGUAUUUCCAUUGUCGUUAUUUAUUAGUAACUUAUCUGUAGGUGAAAACUUGCAGCAGACCGAAUUUCAGGAUGAAUCCGAUCGGCCCACCACAGUGAAUUUAACCAAAUUACAUGAUCACCUACACAUUUGUACCUGAUUUGCAUGCUCAGCUCCACUUUGAUGAUCAAUGGAUGGUAAAUGGAUUCCCUAACGGUUGAAUUAGUGUUAUACAAAUUUUUGAAUAAUCCGUAUGGAAUUCAGCCCACCAUAGGAUGAAGGAUAAUGGACGGAAACUUCUUAGAAUUGAGGACUUCUUUUGAACAUAAAGAAAAAUCACGCUUAAAUACAAGUUUUUCGUCAUAUUAUUUAAUGAUCUUUUA
rnacentral:misc_RNA from 1 species